rnacentral:rRNA from 1 species
AGCGCACACGGUGGAUGCCUAGGCGGUCAGAGGCGAUGAAGGACGUGGUAGCCUGCGAAAAGUGUCGGGGAGCUGGCAACAAGCUUUGAUCCGGCAAUAUCCGAAUGGGGAAACCCACUGCUUCGGCAGUAUCCUGCAGUGAAUUCAUAGCUGCUGGAAGCGAACCCGGUGAACUGAAAUAUCUAAGUAACCGGAGGAAAAGAAAUCAACCGAGAUUCCCUAAGUAGUGACGAGCGAACGGGGAGCAGCCCUUAAGCUGGAAUGGCUUUAGAAAAACAAUCUGGAAAGAUUGGCCAUAGAAGGUGAUAGCCCUGUAUUUAAAAGGGCCACUCCAGUGAAGACGAGUAGGGCGGGGCACGUGAAACCCUGUCUGAAUAUGGGGGGACCAUCCUCCAAGGCUAAAUACUCCUGACCGACCGAUAGUGAACCAGUACCGUGAGGGAAAGGCGAAAAGAACCCCGGAGAGGGGAGUGAAAUAGAUCCUGAAACCGUGUGCGUACAAGCAGUAGGAGCUCGCAAGAGUGACUGCGUACCUUUUGUAUAAUGGGUCAGCGACUUACUGUUCGUGGCAAGCUUAACCGUAUAGGGGAGGCGAAGGGAAACCGAGUCUGAUAAGGGCGCAUAGUCGCGGGCAGUAGACCCGAAACCGGGUGAUCUAGUCAUGGCCAGGGUGAAGGUGCCGUAACAGGUACUGGAGGCCCGAACCCACGUCUGUUGCAAAAGACGGGGAUGAGCUGUGAUUAGGAGUGAAAAGCUAAUCGAACCCGGAGAUAGCUGGUUCUCCUCGAAAGCUAUUUAGGUAGCGCCUCGGACGAAUACUACUGGGGGUAGAGCACUGUUAUGGCUAGGGGGUCAUCGCGACUUACCAAACCAUUGCAAACUCCGAAUACCAGUACGUACUAUCCGGGAGACACACGGCGGGUGCUAACGUCCGUCGUGAAAAGGGAAACAACCCAGACCCACAGCUAAGGUCCCAAAUUCACUGCUAAGUGGAAAACGAUGUGGAAAGGCAUAGACAGCCAGGAGGUUGGCUUAGAAGCAGCCACCCUUUAAAGAAAGCGUAAUAGCUCACUGGUCGAGUCGGUCUGCGCGGAAGAUUUAACGGGGCUAAGCAGUGAACCGAAGCUUGGGGUGCAUAAAACUUGUUUUAUGCGCGGUAGAGGAGCGUUCCGUAAGCCUGCGAAGGUGGAUUGAGAAGUCUGCUGGAGGUAUCGGAAGUGCGAAUGCUGACAUGAGUAACGAUAAUGCGGGUGAAAAGCCCGCACGCCGAAAGCCCAAGGUUUCCUUGCGCAACGUUAAUCGACGCAGGGUUAGUCGGUCCCUAAGGCGAGGGCGAAAGCCGUAGUCGAUGGGAAGCAGGUUAAUAUUCCUGCACCUCGCGUGAGUGCGAUGGAGGGACGGAGAAGGUUAGGUGUACCGGGCGUUGGUUGUCCCGGGGAAAGGCGGUAGGUUUGGAUCUUUGGCAAAUCCGGGAUCCUUUAAGACCGAGCACCGAGACGAGCCUUUAUGGCGAAGUCACUGAUACCACGCUUCCAGGAAAAGCUCCUAAGCUUCAGCUCACGAAGACCGUACCGUAAACCGACACAGGUGGGUAGGAUGAGAAUUCUCAGGCGCUUGAGAGAACUCGGGUGAAGGAACUAGGCAACAUGGCACCGUAACUUCGGGAGAAGGUGCACCCUUUUUGGUGGCUCAUGCGAGCUAUAGCUGAAGAGGGUCGCAGAAACCAGGCCGCUGCGACUGUUUAUCAAAAACACAGCACUCUGCAAACACGAAAGUGGACGUAUAGGGUGUGACGCCUGCCCGGUGCUGGAAGGUUAAUUGAUGGGGUCAGCCGCAAGGCGAAGCUCUUGAUCGAAGCCCCAGUAAACGGCGGCCGUAACUAUAACGGUCCUAAGGUAGCGAAAUUCCUUGUCGGGUAAGUUCCGACCUGCACGAAUGGCGUAACGACAGCGGCGCUGUCUCCACCCGAGACUCAGUGAAAUUGAAAUCGCUGUGAAGAUGCAGCGUUCCCGUGGCAAGACGGAAAGACCCCGUGAACCUUUACUAUAGCUUUACACUGAACGUUGAGUUCGUCUGUGUAGGAUAGGUGGGAGGCUAUGAAACUGUGGCGCUAGCUGCAGUGGAGCCAUCCUUGAAAUACCACCCUGUCGUGCUUGACGUUCUAACCUAGAUCCGUUAUCCGGAUCAGGGACCGUGUAUGGUGGGUAGUUUGACUGGGGCGGUCUCCUCCUAAAGAGUAACGGAGGAGCACGAAGGUACGCUCAGCGCGGUCGGACAUCGCGCACUGUGUGCAAAGGCAUAAGCGUGCUUGACUGCAAGAUCGACGGAUCAAGCAGGUACGAAAGUAGGUCUUAGUGAUCCGGUGGUUCUGUAUGGAAGGGCCAUCGCUCAACGGAUAAAAGGUACUCCGGGGAUAACAGGCUGAUACCGCCCAAGAGUUCAUAUCGACGGCGGUGUUUGGCACCUCGAUGUCGGCUCAUCACAUCCUGGGGCUGUAGUCGGUCCCAAGGGUAUGGCUGUUCGCCAUUUAAAGUGGUACGCGAGCUGGGUUCAGAACGUCGUGAGACAGUUCGGUCCCUAUCUGCCAUGGGCGUUGGAAGUUUGAGAGGGGCUGCUCCUAGUACGAGAGGACCGGAGUGGACGAACCUCUGGUGUUCCGGUUGUCACGCCAGUGGCAUUGCCGGGUAGCUAUGUUCGGAAGCGAUAACCGCUGAAAGCAUCUAAGCGGGAAGCGCGCCUCAAGAUGAGACUUCCCGGGGCACAAGCCCCCUAAAGGAACCAUAUAGACUAUGUGGUUGAUAGGUCAGGUGUGUAAGUACAGCAAUGUAUUGAGCUAACUGAUACUAAUGAUCCGUGCGGCUUGACC